rnacentral:misc_RNA from 1 species
UCCGGUUUGUCACCGGCGGUCCCCUUAGAGUUCCCAACUGAAUGCUGGCAACUAAGGGCAAGGGUUGCGCUCGUUGCGGGACUUAACCCAACAUCUCACGACACGAGCUGACGACAGCCGUGCAGCACCUGUGCACACUGGUAUUGCUACCUCGUCACCCUUUCAGGCUUCUACUAUGUGCAUGUCAAGGCCAGGUAAGGUUCUUCGCGUUGCAUCGAAUUAAGCCACAUACUCCACCGCUUGUGCAGGCCCCCGUCAAUUUCUUUGAGUUUUAGCCUUGCGGCCGUAGUCCCCAGGCGGAGUACUUAACGCGUUAGCUUCGGCACGAAGGGGGUCGAUACCCCUCAUACCCAGUACUCAUAGUUUAGGGCGUGGACUAC